CUCCUCUUGGGGUCACCCCUGGAGAGUUCCCUGUAUUCUACCAGUCUUGACUACAGGAGGGAGAGUCAAGCAGAGGCAUAUCUAUUCCAUUCCUAGCUUGGGCAGUGGCUAGUGAGUGGAAGACAAUCUACUACAAGU